UACAGAGGGUGCGAGCGUUAAUCGGAAUUACUGGGCGUAAAGGGUGCGUAGGUGGUUUGAUUAGUUAGGUGUGAAAGUCCUGGGCUUAACCUGGGGACUGCGCCUAAUACUGUCAAGCUAGAGUACUGUAGAGGAAGGUAGAAUUUCCAGUGUAGCGGUGAAAUGCGUAGAUAUUGGAAGGAAUACCUGUGGCGAAGGCGACCUUCUGGACAGAUACUGACACUGAGGCACGAAAGCGUGGGGAGCAAAC
rnacentral:rRNA from 1 species